GGGGUAUGUUAGGUUAGGUUUGAAAAGGAAGGAGAGGGGCAUUAUAGGUUAGGUUAGGUUAGGUUGAGGAGAGAAAGAAAGGGGUAUGUUAGGUUAGGUUUGAAAAGGAAGGAGAGGGGCAUUAUAGGUUAGGUUAGGUUAGGUUGAGGA